UAUUGUAACGUGAAUAUACCCCAACACGCAGGAUUCAGCUAAACAGAAGACAACACAGAGGAGAGAUACGUCUACCGGACCUUAGAAUGGCCGGACUUGACGUAUAUGAGAGGAGGCAGAGUCAGGAACGAUCCGAAGUCAAGGGCACAGAGAGACAGCGUAAACUAGGACAAGCCGGGGUCUGGUACACAGUAAACAGCAAGCCGAC